ACAUGGGGGCACCCUGAUCAUCAAUGCCGCGUGAGUGAAGAAGGCUUCGGGUUGUAAAGCUCUUUUGUCAGGGAAGAAACACCGGCUCUAACACAGUCCGGGAAUGACGGUACCUGAAGAAUAAGCACCGGCUAACUACGUGCCAGCAGCCGCGGUAAUACGUAGGGUGCGAGCGUUAAUCGGAAUUACUGGGCGUAAAGCGUGCGCAGGCGGUUGUACAAGACAGGCGUGAAAUCCCCGGGCUUAACCUGGGAAUGGCGCCUGUGACUGUACGGCUAGAGUGUGUCAGAGGGGGGUAGAAUUCCACGUGUAGCAGUGAAAUGCGUAGAUAUGUGGAGGAAUACCAAUGGCGAAGGCAGCCCCCUGGGAUAACACUGACGCUCAUGCACGAAAGCGUGGGGAGCAAACAGGAUUAGAUACCCUGGUAGUCCACGCCCUAAACGAUGCUGACUAGUUGUUCGGGAUUUACAUCCUGAGUAACGUAGCUAACGCGUGAAGUCAGCCGCCUGGGGAGUACGGUCGCAAGAUUAAAACUCAAAGGAAUUGACGGGGACCCGCACAAGCGGUGGAUGAUGUGGAUUAAUUCGAUGCAACGCGAAAAACCUUACCUACCCUUGACAUGUCACUAACGAAGUAGAGAUACAUUAGGUGCUCGUAAGAGAAAGUGAACACAGGUGCUGCAUGGCUGUCGUCAGCUCGUGUCGCGAGAUGU
rnacentral:rRNA from 1 species